rnacentral:lncRNA from 1 species
AAUUUUCUUUCUUCGUUGUAUGUUAAAAGUGCUGCCUCCCUCUCCUUCCCGUUUUCAGACCAAACGGCCAUAGUUUCCGGCGAGCUAGCAGUCUAAACACAUCUACUCGACGAAAGGAACUUCAUCCUAGCCUUGCUUCGCGCGAUUUAAACUGUAGUCAUGUAAAAUCGGGUCUGAAAUUUUUAUUAACGAUGCAGCGUUGCUUUCCAGUGAAUUCAUGCCUUCUCCGACGAGUUUAGGCUUCGGGAUGGGUACUAGUUGAUCUCUCCCUCCUGCGCGAACAUUUUCCCUCUAUCAAUCAAGGUUUUCGGUGGAGAACGAUGAACCACCGUGAUCGGUGGCUCCUUUGGUGGCUGUCGAGGCUCAUUCCGGCCAAAUGGGCCACUGACUCGACAAAUGGACACUAAAUUCGAGUCCCCAAUGAAAUUUCGAGCAGAGUGGUGUAGGCCUCGUGAAGUUCCAGCGAUGCACGAUUUUUCGAAUAUCCGGCAAGGACUUAGAGGCAGAAUCAUCUACUCUUCAAGCUGAUCUCAAAUCUGCAAUCCAAUUUUGUGAGUUCUAAGCGUCAACACUACUUUUGUAAAAAUUCGAUUAAAGGUUAUUAAUUUAAAUUAGAUCAAAUUAGUUUAGUUAAGUGGAUUAAUAUUGAAUGAGCUUAAGUAAAUGCUAAUUUAGUUAAUUGAGUUAAUGGUUGACAUAAAACGUUGUGAAAUUAGAGUAGAAUUUGAUAUCCAUAAGUUACCAUUAUGAAUGGCACAUAUAUUACUUCUAAGGUUUGAAUGUUAUUAUUUAAUGAAUAUUAAGUUGUGAUUGAUAUAAGAUAUGCAAGGUUUGAUAGUAAUUCUAGUUAAUGAUUGAAAACAGACUUGUGAAUGACCGAGUUGCUAUUUAAAUUGUGUAAUUGAAUUGAGCAGUUAAUUAUAUAAUCAAAAUUGAUGAUGUGAAAUGAUUGGUUCUAGAUUGUGUUGAUAAUGGAAGGAGGAAGAGCUUAAUUGAUUGAUUUGCCCGACGGAUGGGCAGUGAUUAUAUGCUGACUUUCCUUGAAUUGGAAACGAGUAGAUUAUUC